rnacentral:lncRNA from 1 species
AGCCGUGUGGGGCUUAUUUCGAUUCACUAGCAUAAUUGUUUUAAUAUUUAUUUUCUUUUUCAAAAUGCAAAACCAAAGUCUAGUGAAGCCGCGUGAGACCUGUUUCGAUUCACUAGCAGCUGGUUGUUUACUCUGUUGUUCUUGCAUUGGUUGGAAACGUGGUGGAAGGCGGUGUUAAUAAAUUAUUAUGGCAUAGGCCAUGGAAUUGUGGAUGAUUAUUGUCGUUAUGAGGUUUUGGUGGACUAGUAUGUUUGGGGUGUUUGAUAGAUGGAAAUGGUUGUUGAGAUUGUUGUUAAUCGUAGUCAGAGUGAGUUGUUAAGUUUGUAUAGCGGGUGAUGAGAAAAAUGAAUUUAAUGAUUGAAUUACUACGAUGUUAGUGAUAGGGAGGAGAUUUAGUAGGUUUGAACCGUAUGUACGAGAGCUUAAG